AUUGAACGCUGGCGGCAUGCCUUACACAUGCAAGUCGAACGGCAGCGCGGGAGCAAUCCUGGCGGCGAGUGGCGAACGGGCGAGUAGUGCAUCGGAACGUGCCCAGUUGUGGGGGAUAGCCCGGCGAAAGCCGGAUUAAUACCGCAUGAGACCUGAGGGUGAAAGCGGGGGAUCGAAAGGCCUCGCGCGACUGGAGCGGCCGAUGUCAGAUUAGGUAGUUGGUGGGGUAAGGGCCUACCAAGCCUGCGAUCUGUAGCUGGUCUGAGAGGACGACCAGCCACACUGGGACUGAGACACGGCCCAGACUCCUACGGGAGGCAGCAGUGGGGAAUUUUGGACAAUGGGCGCAAGCCUGAUCCAGCCAUGCCGCGUGCGGGAAGAAGGCCUUCGGGUUGUAAACCGCUUUUGUCGGGGAAGAAACGGCCUGGGCUAAUACCUCGGGCUAAUGACGGUACCCGAAGAAUAAGCACCGGCUAACUACGUGCCAGCCGCCGCGGUAA
rnacentral:rRNA from 1 species